UCUUAAUUUUUUCCUUCUUCUUGUUGGCAUUCGGUUAAAUCAAAUCGGGUGCGCCCAUGAUCGAGUUCAAUCCGACAGUUACUAUAUUAUCUCAUUAUAUUAGAAUUAAUCUUGCUUUUAAAUUGAAAAACUAUUUAGAGAUAAAUUCUACUCAUAGGAUAACAAUUAAUAACCGAUUUGGCCUUAUGGCCCUUAUCUCUUACGCAUCUAUUAGAAUUUUGAAAUUCCUUAUAAAUAUACGGGCGAUCUCAUAUAAAAUAAAUAAGAGAACGAAAGAAUAAGAAAACCAAGUGAGAAAAACUUAGAAACCACAUUUUCUAUCAACUUAUUACUUAUUAUUCUAGAGGGUCUUGAACGAUGGAUUUGCGAUCGUGCUUGUUUGUAGUUCGAUCCAUCGCGAGUUUUGAGCGAUAGAAGAUUUUCAAGGACAAUCCGAAGAGACGUGAAUCAACCUUUACGAUCCUGACUCGUCGCGUUCUAGCGCGAAUCACUUCCGCAAAAAGGUACGAACGAAUACUUCCGCUGCAUUCUACACUUCUUAUUCAAAUUUAUAUACUCCCUAAAUUUCUAAUUAUUUUGACUUGAAUUAUUUUUAUAU
rnacentral:lncRNA from 1 species